rnacentral:rRNA from 1 species
AAUGGCAGGUCAGCAUACUGCCGUGAAUACGUUCCCGGGCCUUGUACACACCGCCCGUCACACCAUGAGAGUUGGAGAUACCCGAAGCCUAUGAGCUAACUUUUAGAGGCAGUAGUCGAAGGUAGAAUCAAUGAUUGGGGUGAAGUCGUAACAAGGUACC